UNUCAGCAGCAGUCACUGCCAUCAACACCC
rnacentral:piRNA from 1 species